rnacentral:rRNA from 1 species
GACAGAGGUCCCAAGCGUUAGGCGGAAUCACUGGGCUUAAAGCGUGUGUAGGCGGACUUCUAAGUGCCUUGUGAAAUCCCACGGCUCAACCGUGGAACUGCUGGGCAUACUGGGAGUCUUGGGCCAUUCAGGGGCAACUGGAACAAGCGGUGGAGCGGUGAAAUGCGUAGAUAUCGCUUGGAACGCCGAAGGUGAAAACAGGUUGCUGGGGAUGUGCCGACGCUGAGACACGAAAGCCAGGGGAGCAAACGGG